rnacentral:rRNA from 1 species
ACGGAAGGCAGCAGUGGGGAAUAUUGCACAAUGGGCGAAAGCCUGAUGCAGCGACGCCGCGUGAGUGAAGAAGUAUCUCGGUAUGUAAAGCUCUAUCAGCAGGGAAGAAAAUGACGGUACCUGACUAAGAAGCCCCGGCUAACUACGUGCCAGCAGCCGCGGUAAUACGUAGGGGGCAAGCGUUAUCCGGAUUUACUGGGUGUAAAGGGAGCGUAGACGGUUUGGCAAGUCUGAAGUGAAACGCGGGGGCUCAACUCCUGAACUGCUUUGGAAACUGUCGAACUAGAGUGCAGGAGAGGUAAGUGGAAUUCCUAGUGUAGCGGUGAAAUGCGUAGAUAUUAGGAGGAACACCAGUGGCGAAGGCGGCUUACUGGACUGUAACUGACGUUGAGGCUCGAAAGCGUGGGGAGCAAACAGGAUUAGAUACCCUGGUA